GACGGGUGAGUAAUGCUUAGGAAUCUGCCUAUUAGUGGGGGACAACAUUCCGAAAGGAAUGCUAAUACCGCAUACGCCCUACGGGGGAAAGCAGGGGAUCUUCGGACCUUGCGCUAAUAGAUGAGCCUAAGUCGGAUUAGCUAGUUGGUGGGGUAAAGGCCUACCAAGGCGACGAUCUGUAGCGGGUCUGAGAGGAUGAUCCGCCACACUGGGACUGAGACACGGCCCAGACUCCUACGGGAGGCAGCAGUGGGGAAUAUUGGACAAUGGGCGGAAGCCUGAUCCAGCCAUGCCGCGUGUGUGAAGAAGGCCUUUUGGUUGUAAAGCACUUUAAGCGAGGAGGAGGCUACUUAGAUUAAUACUCUAGGAUAGUGGACGUUACUCGCAGAAUAAGCACCGGCUAACUCUGUGCCAGCAGCCGCGGUAAUACAGAGGGUGCGAGCGUUAAUCGGAUUUACUGGGCGUAAAGCGUGCGUAGGCGGCUGAUUAAGUCGGAUGUGAAAUCCCUGAGCUUAACUUAGGAAUUGCAUUCGAUACUGGUCAGCUAGAGUAUGGGAGAGGAUGGUAGAAUUCCAGGUGUAGCGGUGAAAUGCGUAGAGAUCUGGAGGAAUACCGAUGGCGAAGGCAGCCAUCUGGCCUAGUACUGACGCUGAGGUACGAAAGCAUGGGGAGCAAACAGGAUUAGAUACCCUGGUAGUCCAUGCCGUACACGAUGUCUACUAGCCGUUGGGGCCUUUGAGGCUUUAGUGGCGCAUCU
rnacentral:rRNA from 1 species